GGACCAAUAUGUCGGUCGUGCCUCGGUACGUACUGGCAUCGUUGGUUUCUCCUUUCUGAAGAACCAUGAUGUCAUUUAUUUGGUGUCGUGGGGAAUCAGGACUGUUACUCUUAGAAAAAAUUAGAGUGUUUAAAGCAGGCUCACGCUUGAAUACAUUAGCAUGGAAUAAUGAAAUAGGACGUCUGAUUCCAUUUUGUUGGUUUCUAGGAUCGAAGUAAUGAU
rnacentral:rRNA from 1 species